AAUUAUUAUUAUUUAAUAUAAUAUAUAAUAUUUAUAUAUAUAUAAUAUAGUUAAUAAAGGGGUUAUUAAGGAUAACUAGCUAAUAUAUUUUAGGAGGUAUAUACCUAAUUCAUUAUUAUAUAAAUGUUAUAAUGUAUAUCCGAGAGGGAAACCUCAAUUUCAAUUACGAAGUGAAAUGAAACAUCUUAGUAACUUCAGGAAAAGAAAUCAACCGAGAUUUUAUGAGUAGUGGCGAGCGAAAGUAAAAUAGCCUAGUAAUUUAUAUUGCAUCUAAUAUAUAAUAAUAAUAAUAUAAUAUUAUAUAGUCUUCUAAUGAAGAUGUAACUCUGUUUUAAAAGUUGGAAUACUUUAUGUGUAUUAAAAGUACAUGGCCAGGGAUGGUGAAAGCCCAGAAUAUAGAGUAAAUAUAAAUUUAUAUUAAGUAGAAUGAGAGAUAACUUGUUUGAAUAAUAUUAAUAUAUAUAUAUAUUAUAGUAUUAAUUACAUAUGCUAUUAUUAAUAUAUAUAUUACAGGGGAACUAUCCUCUAAGGCUAAAUAUAAUAUAUUAAGCGAUAGUGAAGAGUACCGUGAGGGAAAGUUGAAAAGAAAUAUAAAGUGAAAUAGAUCUUGAAUUAAUAACCUUAUAAGCAGUCGGAGGUUAAAACUGACGACGUACCUUUUGCAUAAUGGGUUAGCAAGUUAAUAUGCAAUGCAAGUCGUAAGACCUAAAUAACUUGAUUCUGAAAAGGGAGUAAUAAGUAUUGUAUAUUAGACCCGAAAUCUAGUGAUCUUACUAUGAUCAGACGAUAAACAGGUCAAACUGGUGUACGUUGCAAAGUACUCAGAAGAAUUGUGGUAAGAAGUGAAAUACAAAUCGGACUAGGAUAUAGCUGGUUUUCUGCGAAAAUUGUUUUGGCAAAUUGUUUAUUUUUUUUUCAUUCAUUCAAAGAAUGAAUGUAUAAUAAUAAUAAUAGUGGGUAUAGCACUGAAUACUUUGGGGGAGUAUUAUUAUAUUUAUCUCGGGUAUUUAAUCUCAAAAUAACUAUUUAUUUAUAGGUAAAUAAUCAGACUAUUUGCGAUAAGGUAGAUAGUCAAAAGGGAAACAGCCCAGAACAGUUAUUAAAGCUCCAAAAUUAAUAUUUAGUGAAAUAAAAGUUGUUGGUAGUCUUUUACAGUCAAGAAGUGGGCUUGGAAACAGCCAUCUUUUAAAGAACACGUAAAAGUGCAAUGAUCUUAGAUUAUCUGCGCUGAAAAUAUUCGGAUCAAAAUAUUAUGCUGAAAUACUGUUAAUAUAUAAUAUAUAUAUAAUAUAUAUAUUAUUAUAUAUAGGUAGCAGAACAUUUAGUAGAUGUGUGAAGAAUAGUAUUUUAUUAUUUGGACAUAACUAAAGAGAGAAUGCUGACAUGAGUAACGUUAAAAUAGGUGAAAAUCCUAUUCGCCGUAAAUGGAAGGUUUUUAUAGUUCAGCUUAACUACUAUAAAUAAUAAUAUCGGUUUCUAACAGUAUCUCUAGUGAGUAAUGGAUGAGUUACAUAUAUGAAAGUCGUAAGAUUCAGGAAAAAAUAUAUGUGAAAGACCGUACUAAUACCGACACAGGUCCAUGGAUAUAAAUGUAUUAAGGCGAAUGAGAGAAUUAUUGCGAAGGAACUCGGCAAAAUUGUUUCGUAAUUUCGAGAAAAGAAGUGCCAUGCUAGUGGUGUCAGAAAUUAGGUUGUACAACUGUUUACUUAAAACACAGUACUUUGCAAAGAUCAGAAAUCUUAGUAUAAAGUAUGAAAUCUGCCCAAUGCUAAAUGAUAAACUUGUUUUUGUUUGUUUACAAAUCUUGUAAUGUUUAGUGAAUGGCGGCCUUAACUAUAAGGGUCCUAAGGUAGCGAAAUUCCUUGGCCGUUAAAUGCGGUCCCGCACGAAUGAUUUAAUGAUACAACAUCUGUCUCCGCAAUAAACUCAGUGAAAUUGGAAUAGCCGUGAAGAUACGGUUUAUAUAUAGUUAGACGGGAAGACCCUAUGCAGCUUAACUGUAAUUCUUUAUUGUUGGAUUGAAUAAUCUUCUGUAGAUUAUAAGGUUGUCGGUUAGACUUCAUGAAAAACCUUUGUUGAUUAUUUAAUUAACUUACUUGUUAAAGGACAGUGCAGAAUUGACAGUUUAUGUGGGGCGCAUAUCUCAAAAAAAGUAUCUGAGAUGUCCAAAGGCAGGGUGAAAUUGGAUGGUAACCAAUAAAUGUAAAUUGUAUAUCUAGAUUGUAUUAUUAAUAUAUAUAUAUCUAGGUAAUGUAGUAUUUAAUAAAGUAUAAUGGCAUAACUCCUGCUUAACAGUAAGACUGACAAGUCAAACUGACAUGUAAGUGGGGCAUAGUGACCCUCGUUUACAAUAUGGAAUGGAACGAGAUCAACGAAUAAAAGCUACGCUAGGGAUAACAGGGUUAUUUCGUGUGAGAGAUCACAUUGACCACGAAGUUUGCCACCUCGAUGUCGACUCAACCUAUCCUCCAGGAGUAGAAGAUUGGAAGGGUUCGGCUGUUCGCCGAUUAAAAGGUUACGUGAGUUGGGUUAAAAACGUUGUGAAACAGUUUGGUUCCUAUCUUCUAUAUAUAUAAGAAGUUAAUGAAGGUCUUGUUCUUUGUACGCAAGGAUCAGAAUUAUUUUAACCUCUGGUUUAUCUGUUGUUUAUAAAAGAUGCAUUGCAGAAACGCUACGUUGAUAAAGAAUAAAUAUUGAAAGCAUAUAAAAUAUGAAGUCUGCCUUCGGAAACUUCUGUCUCGUUGUAGAUUAUAACGUUGAUAGGCUUUAUCUGUAAGAAUAGUAAUAUUUUAAGGUAUAAAGUACUAAUUGAUUUAUACUAAAUUAUACUCUUAUUGA
rnacentral:rRNA from 1 species